GUAACUCAACUGUCUUUCAACUCUUUUUUCUCUCUCUCUCUCUUUGGCGAAUGAACCAUUCUCUUCCUCUCCGAUCCGAAACCCAUCACUUCUAACACCUGCAGAUCUCCCUCUCUCAACCUCACUCCACACCUUACACCAAAGUCUCCCAAACUUUCCAUCGCUUAUUAUUCCCUUUUUACUCUUUCUCUCUUCUCACCUUUCUGCAAUUGCUUCUCUAGGGUUUCUCCGAGGCGACGGAUUUUCCAAUUGUAUCCGGCCUUUCAAUUGGAUUGAAUGACUGUAUGGCGGCACCUAGGCUAUGACUUCAAGCAUGUUGAGUGGGGAGUGAAGUGUUUGCUUCGUUGAAUGGCGCUAGCUUCCACCAAGCCACCGCCCAACCACAGUUGUUCUUGGUUGUAGUCGUAGAUCCGGGCUUACCAGUGUGCUUUUUCUUGUUCUCUUCUCUUUCCAUUUUUCUCUGGUAUGGAGCAUUUGAGCCACAACUUUCUUGGCAAUUUGCCUAUUUGAGUCAACCAGUCAUAAUAAAAUGUUAUAUAUAUAUAUAUAUAUAUAUAUAACUCCAUAUCAUCCUUGGAUGAGAGAAGAUGGAGCAUCUGAUAAACCUCGAUCUAGAUGUUUUUGUUUUAUCCAGAAUGAAACAAUUUAGGACAAUGAACAAGCUAAAGAAAGCUGCUCUGAAGGUUUAUCUUUGGGAGUUCUCAAUCUUGCAAUUGUGGUACCACAGGUUAGAACCCACUUACUCAUAUAUUAACAGCUUGAAGGUUGGGACUGACCUAUUAUGACGUUAUCGUUCUCCAGAAUACCUAUUAUGACGUUAUCGUUCUCCAGAAUAUUAACAGCUUGAAAGUACAAAACCAAGAGUUUUAAUUGUGAAUUAAGAGGCAUUUUUGCCUAUUAUUGUUGUUUGGUUGAGAAAUAAAAUUGAUCAUUUUUAAGAUGUGCACUGCACAACUCAUCAUAUAACUAUAGGCUUUCCAAUUUUCCCUGGUUCCUAUUAGAUCACUAAGCACGUGCUAGUCCUUCAUAAGGUUUUUGGAAGCCAUUAUAAGAAUUUUAUAAUCCUAUCAUAUCAUUACUAAUGGCCUUAGCUGAUGAUAGAUUCCAUUUUUUGCUGGGUUUAAUUAAAAUACAUUUAAACUAGUGUAUUUUUCCUUUCCUCUUGUACUAUCCAUAGUAAUUUCUAAAAUUAAAUACAUUCAUUAUGAAAUAUAAAAAUGAAGUUGAGACAACAUCUAAUGCUUUCUGCCUCAUUCCUUAUUAUUUUAUAUCAAAAUGAAUCAGUUUUUUUGGAUGAUUGUUCCAUAUCCCAUUUAUUGCAAGGACCUUCUAAAUUUAGUUUAGCAACAUAUCGAGUGAAUUAGUGCCAAUACAUAUUCCCUUCUAGCAUUUAACUUGUUCAUGUUAGAUUGUGAUAUAGUAACAUGUGCUAUAAUGUAUCCUACAGCCAGUAUUAUAUAGUAGGAGGAAAGUUUAUAGGACUGGCUUAAUUGUUUGGCAAAGGCAGAUACGGAGAGGACACUUGAGGAAAAGAUGUUGUGGCUGAUAGAGAGUCAUGAUCACGUAGUCAGGUGAUGUGGAUGGAACCGAGCACCAUGUUGACAAUGCUCAAGUUGAUCAUUGACUCUUGGCUAUUGUUUUAGUUUGAUUAUGUCAUGUUAGUUAUGAAUUUAAACUAUAUUAAACUUUCACAUUGCAUUUUAUUAAACUUUGAAUUUUCACUUUGUCAAUAUUUAAUUAGAAUUUUGUUAUUAGAUGUAUUUACAG